UACGGGGGGAGCAAGCGUUGUUCGGAAUUACUGGGCGUAAAGGGAGCGUAGGCGGGCUCUUAAGUUGGAUGUUUAAAACCGGGGCCUAACCCCGGCGUGGCAUCCAAAACUGGGAGUCUUGAAUGGGACAGAGGCCAGUGGAAUUAGAGGUGUAGCGGUGGAAUGCGUAGAUAUCUCUAAGAACACCAGUUGCGAAGGCGGCUGGCUGGGUCCACAUUGACGCUGAGGCUCGAAAGCGUGGGGAGCAAACAGG
rnacentral:rRNA from 1 species